AGAGCGAACGCUGGCGGCAGGCUUAACACAUGCAAGUCGAACGAUCCUUCGGGAUAGUGGCGGACGGGUGAGUAACACGUGGGAACGUGCCCUUAGGUUCGGAACAACACAGGGAAACUUGUGCUAAUACCGGAUAAGCCCUUACGGGGAAAGAUUUAUCGCCUUUGGAGCGGCCCGCGUCUGAUUAGCUUGUUGGUGAGGUAAAGGCUCACCAAGGCUACGAUCAGUAGCUGGUCUGAGAGGAUGGCCAGCCACAUUGGGACUGAGACACGGCCCAAACUCCUACGGGAGGCAGCAGUGGGGAAUCUUGCGCAAUGGGGGAAACCCUGACGCAGCCAUGCCGCGUGGAUGAUGAAGGUCUUAGGAUUGUAAAAUCCUUUCAGCGGGACGAUAAUGACGGUACCGCAGAAGAAGCCCCGGCUAACUUCGUGCCAGCAGCCGC
rnacentral:rRNA from 1 species